rnacentral:rRNA from 1 species
CAAUAGCGUAUAUUAAAGUUGUUGCAGUUAAAAAGCUCGUAGUUGGAUUUCUGGUUGAAGCGACCGGUCGGGCGUUGAUUCGUCUGCACUGGAGUCGGUUUUGGCCAUCCUCUAGGAAAGUGUGUCUGGUAUUAAGUUAUCGGGCGUAUGAUCCUGGUCUUUUACUGUGAAAAAAUUAGAGUGUUUAAAGCAGGCCUUCGCCUUGAAUACAUUAGCAUGGAAUAAUAAGAUAGGACUUUGGUCUAUUUUGUUGGUUUGCAGACCGAAGUAAUGAUUAAUAGGGAUAGUUGGGGGUAUUUAUAUUCCGAUGUCAGAGGUGAAAUUCUUAGAUUUUCGGAAGAUAAACUUAUGCGAAAGCAUUUACCAAGGAUGUUUNCAUUAA